GAUGAAGAACGCAGCGAAAUGCGAUAAGUAAUGUGAAUUGCAGAAUUCAGUGAGUCAUCGAAUCUUUGAACGCACAUUGCGCCCGCCAGUAUUCUGGCGGGCAUGCCUGUUCGAGCGUCAUUACAACCCUCAGGCCCCCGGGCCUGGCGUUGGGGAUCGGCGGAAGCCCCCUGCGGGCACAACGCCGUCCCCCAAAUACAGUGGCGGUCCCGCCGCAGCUUCCAUUGCGUAGUAGCUAACACCUCGCAACUGGAGAGCGGCGCGGCCACGCCGUAAAACACCCAACUUCUGAAUGUUGACCUCGAAUCAGGUAGGAAUACCCGCUGAACUUAAGCAUAUCAAUAAGCGGAGGA
rnacentral:misc_RNA from 1 species